rnacentral:rRNA from 1 species
GACGAACGCUGGCGGCGUGCUUAACACAUGCAAGUCGAACGGGCCUUGUCCCCUUUUUUUUGGGGGUGGGGUUAGUGGCGAACGGGUGAGUAACACGUGAGUAACCUGCCCCUCACUUCUGGAUAACCGCUUGAAAGGGUGGCUAAUACGGGGUGUUCUGGCCUGCUCGCAUGGGUGGGUUUGGAAAGAUUCGACCGGUUUUGGUUGUUUUGGUGGGGGAUGGGCUCGCGGCCUAUCAGCUUGUUGGUGGGGUGAUGGCCUGCCAAGGCUUUGACGGGUAGCCGGCCUGGGGGGGGGGGCGGUCCCACUGGGACAGAGACACGGCCAGGACUCGUAGGGGGGGAAGGGGGGGGGAAUAUGGCACAAGGGGCGAAGGCCGGGGGCAGCGCCGCCGGGUGGGGGAGGGAGUCCUUGGGGUGGUGACCCUCUUCCGCGGGGGAAGAGGGUCCUGCUUUUUGGGGGGGGGUGGACGGUGGCGGGGUAAAGGAAGCGCCGGCUAACUACGU